rnacentral:rRNA from 1 species
AUGCAGGUUGAAAGUGAUACAUUACACACAGUCUCCGAUCUCAUUGACAGUGACUCUUGGUUAUGGAAGGUGGAUAUUGUCAGGAGGAAUUUUAUCGCUCCCGAUGCUGAUGCUAUCUUGAACAUACCAUUGCGGCAAGGGGGAGGAGAGGACUUCUGGGCAUGGGCGUGGGAGAAGAUGGGUAUCUACACUGUAAAAUCUGCGUAUCGGGCUCUUAUGACUCGCAACGAGCACUUAGCUCUAGAGGAAGGGACGACGACGGGUACUUCAAAGACUGAAAAACAGUUAUGGACAAGGUUGUGGAAGCUAAAAGUGGUGCCUAAACUGCGUGUGUUC